UAUGGCGGCUACUACUGAUGAAUUUGUUUUCUCUUUUAUACCUUCAUUCCGUUUGUCAAAAUUUUAUGAGCCAUUAUAUUUACUUUUUGAAACUCGAAACGGUCCUUUACCAUUCAGAGAUUGGAAAUAUAGAAUAUAUUAUCUGAUCACGUGACCGAAGUACGCAUGCUCGGGUUUUUGACCUGAUACAGCUGAUGAUCUGGAGGCUAAUACCACGUGGUUACGAUGGGAAGAAGGAAAAGAGUACCAUCUACGAGUGAGUCUGUUGAGCAGUUUUUCAACCACGAAGAAAAUUUGCGAGGAACAUUCAAAGGAAAGAUUGUUGUUACUAGUAAUGCUUUCAAUAGAAAAAGAGCUUUUAAAUACUUUGAUGGAAUCAACAAGUGAUUUUUAUGAUAAAGUGAUUAAUGACUUUGCGAAAA